rnacentral:Y_RNA from 1 species
GUCUGGUCCGAGUGCAGUGGUCUUUACAACAAAUCGAUCACAACCAGUUACAGAUUUCUUUGUUCCUUCUCCACUCCCACUGCUUCACACUCGACUAGCUUUUA